rnacentral:rRNA from 1 species
AAUCUUCCGCAAUGGACGAAAGUCUGACGGAGCGAUGCCGCGUGAGUGAUGAAGGUCUUCGGAUCGUAAAACUCUGUUUUUAGGGAAGUACAAGUAUAGGAGUAAUAUGCCGGUACCUUUACGGUACCUUACCAGAAAGGCCCGGCUAACUACGGUCCAGCAGCCGCGGUAAUACGUAGGGGGCAAGCGUUGACCGGAAUUAUUGGGCGUAAAGGGAAUGCAGGCGGUUAUUUAAGUCUGAUGGGAAAUCUUGUGGCUUAACCACAAGCGGUCAUGGGAAACUGGAUAACUUGAGGACAGAAGAGGAGAGUGGAAUUCCACGUGUAGCGGUGAAAUGCGUAGAGAUGUGGAGGAACACCAGUGGCGAAGGCGGCUCUCUGGUCUGUAACUGACGCUGAGGUGCGAAAGCGUGGGUAGCGAACA